GGGGAUGUUUUACAAUCGACAGCGUCAUGCAACGUUGGACUGCAGGCUGAGCAUGGCAGUUCGCUCAUCAAACGCGCUGCCAACGGCAUAAGUGCCAAUUCGCUUAUCUCCAAGGUAAAGGCUGCGUUCGCGCGCCUGUCCUUGGUGCCCGCGGUUGCCUAAUCUAGUCAACCGCCAUCGGUCCGCUGCCGCCCAGUGGGCGGAUACCGGUGUCAGAGCCUGGGCUCGGCUCGUCCGCUGUUCCGGCGGGCGAGUUUAAACUUCCCGGAACGUACGCGCCGGCGGUUUUGCCGAUUUCCUACGCCGACGCGGAAAUUCCAAAUUGGCUACGCCUGGAGACGUCUGGCCGCGCAUGAUCUGGACGGGGGUGAAAUUCCCCCCAUCUCCACCA
rnacentral:sRNA from 1 species